UACGAAGGGGGCUAGCGUUGCUCGGAAUGACUGGGCGUAAAGGGCGCGUAGGCGGUUCGUACAGUCGGGCGUGAAAGCCCCCGGCUCAACCGGGGAGGUCGUCGGGGACCGCACCGCUUGAGGGCGGUAGGGGCUGGUGGAAUGCCUGGUGUAGUGGUGAAAUGCGUAGAGAUCAGGCGGAACACCCGUGGCGAAGGCGGCCAGCUGGGCCGACCCUGACGCUGAGGCGCGAAGGCGUGGGGGAGCGAACGGG
rnacentral:rRNA from 1 species